AUAUCAUGGAUAUACGUGAUUUCCAACACAUGUGGGUCCGAAAUCGGUUUUUGACUUUUGGAAAAAAUCAUUUGAAAACCUAUUUUCAUGCAUUAGAAUUAAUUCAUUUAGAAUUUAUUAAUAUUAUUUAGUAAAUUUUGGCUAGAUACAAGUGAAUUGGUGGUGGAAACAAGAGGUAAAGCGAUAGUUGAGGUUUGAAUUAUGUUCGUGGCGUCGAGAUAAGUAUUUGGUCUACCCCUAGCUUGACGGAUUAAGAGUUGUGUCUUAUUUGCUAUGUGUUAAUUGUGGAGUACGAUGUGUAGGCAUGGUGACGAGUAUCUAUACAUUGGUGUCAAACAUGCCCGUCAUUCUCGUAUUGUAAUUUUAUGACUCCAUUGUGAUUUGUUCAUUCUUAAUAUGUUGAUUUACUUGUUGGUUCCCUUGCCGGGAUGUUUUUGUCUCCCUUGCCGGGAUAUUAUUAUUAUACUCUUGUUCCCUUGCCAAGAUUCUUUUAUGAUUGAUAUUGAAUUAUUUGUGGGAUUGGGUUGUACGCCGCAACGGUAUUAUAUGAACUAGGAUCGGGUUGCACGCCGCAACAGUAAUAUAUGAAAUUGGUCGGUUGCACGCUGCAAUGGUAAUAUAUGAAAUGGGAUCGGUUGCACCACAAUGGUGUUAUAUUAAAUGGUAUUGGGUUGCAUGCCGCAACGGUAUUACAUAAAUGAGAUCGCGUUUCAUGCCGCACCAAUAUUAUAUGAUUUAGGAUUGGGUUGCACGCCACAACAAAAAAGAAAUGUAAGUGUAUAUUGUGUUUGUUUUCCUUAUUCUUGUUGGGAAUUGAAUUAUGGUCUAUCUUUACAUUCCUCUAUUGGUAUUUUGUUGUUAUCUGAUACUCCCCCCAACAUGUGUUUCCCCUCCCAUCUUUAACUAUAAAUAUCAGCUUAUAUUUUUUGUUGUAUAUUAUUUAACUACACAUGUUUAUUUGGUAGUCUAGUUCUAGCCUCGUCACUACUUUGUGCAUGUCGCACCAGUAUUAUAUGAUAUAGGAUUGGGUUGCACGCCACAACAAAAAUGAAAUGAAAGGGUAUAUUGUGUUUGUUUUCCUUAUUCUGUUGGCAAUUGAAUUAUGGUCUUUCUUUACAUUCCUGUAUUGGUAUUUUGUUGUUAUCUGAUACUACCCGCGACAUGUGUUUCCC
rnacentral:lncRNA from 1 species